AAAAAUGUUAAACAAAUAAUUGGUUCCAAUCCUGAAAUACAAAAUGUUACAAGAGAGAGCAUCACAAAAGAAGAUAAAAAUUGUUUCACCUUUCAACACUAUCGGCAGCUAUCAAAACAGUCGUCGUUGACCAACUCAACGAGAAACGGUAAAGCUUUCCAUGUGGCGUUUCUCUUGAGAUGAUAUUAAAUCAUAUUUAUUAUGUCUCAGAUCUAUUUUGUUCUUUGUUCUAUUAUUUUUAUUUACUUUUCUAUUUUAAUUUUGUAUUUAAGUGUUAAUUGAUUUUUUAUUUUAAUUUUGUACUAUGUUCUCUGCAACUACCACGCCUUCCACCUACCACUAUCAUUCCACACCCCACCAUAUGCAUCUCCUUUUCUACAAAGUUGAAAACUUUCAUGGUUUUAAUUUUUUAGGGAAAUUACAAAUGGUUUGCAUGGCCUUACAUUUGAGAGGAACGGUGCUCCCACUGAUCCUCAUCUUAGAAUAUUCUAAGACCACCUGGUAAUUACGACUACUUUCUUAGAAUGAUCUUCUUUUUACUUUGCCUUUUUAUCAUGCAACAAAUCAAGUAUUAUUAAGUUCUAUUGUUAAUUUUUUAUUAAAUCAUGGUUUAAUUACUUUCUCUGCUACUACUUUUUUCUCUAUGAUUACAAUGUAGUUUUUCAUUAUGCAGAAACAUAAUCUCUUAUACAUGCUCUCUAACAUAGUAACGAGCAUCUGGAAUCUCAAGAACACAGCUGAGUUGGUUGUUUUCACAUGGUACCUAUUACUGUUCAAUUCUCAUUUCUCAAAUACUGGAUACACAACUUUGAACUUUAUAAUUGGAACGAAUGUUAACUCUUUGAAGUUAUAAGGAAAAACUCACAUGAACACAAACUUAUACCAUUAGACUAAUAAGGUGUUGAUCUAGUGUUGUAAGGCCUCUUUAGAUCUUGAGGCUGACCAAAAAGUCAAAUAUCGAUUCUUGGGAACAACACUUGAGAAGAGUAACCACAUACUUGCGUAAAGGGUGAGGGGAUACCUUAGUAGGACCAAUAAAAUCACAUGAUACUUUUGUGUAUUAAUUAUAUUAUUAAAUGGUGGAUGUUUGAUGGAAGUUUAUGAAUGAUUUUAUUUUAUCUCAAGUAGGCAUGUACAAGAUUCUUCUCAUAUACGCUAACCCAUCCUAACUCCAAAUUCAUUUUCAUGAGUUUGUAUUUUAGAAAUUAGACUUGUUCUGUCUUUUACAUCAGGUUAGCCAACUUGAUAUCUCACAUGCUUUUGGAAUGUAUAAUAUUUUUAGCAUAUGAGAAUAAGUAGUAAGAGUUCUUCCCUUAGGCUACUAAUAUUUUGUAAGAUAAUCCUG
rnacentral:lncRNA from 1 species